UGUGUAUUACGCAGGCUUAUAUCAUUUGUUGUGUCCACGCCCCCAUCAAGAAUAAGACGACGGUUCUCUUUUUUCGUCUCAUGAUGCUGAAGUACGUCCAGAUUCCCGUUUAUGUUACCGUGAUAGAUAUAGUCAGCAGUAUUAUUCAGGGAUAAAAUGGAUUUUUUGGUUGACGUAUUGGUUAUUACAGCACCUGAAUCAGUUGCAGCAAUUUUAUUGAAAGACUGAUUAUAUCCGUUCAGGUCAAGAGUUCCGCCAUUUUUCGCAAAGAAAAUACCGUUGUAUUCACCGCCAGACAGUGCAUUUUCUGCAUUCAGUCGGACAGUUCCAUCACCACUGGUUAUGUAGAUAUUAUUGAAUGUUUUUUCAGCUCCAAGAAUGACAAGACCCUCACCUGUUUUCAGGUUGGUGUUCUGGGUUUUUCGGACAUCUAAUGUGCCAUCACCAAUUUUGUGAAGGUUGUCUUUAUUAUCAUACCGGAUAUUCCACUCAACGGUGCUGCCGUUUCUUGUAUCAACACCGGCACCUUUAAAGGUGAAAUCAUCCCCGUUUACUCGAUAGGUCUUUUUAUCAUUAAAGACAAGACCGCCAGCACCAUUAUCAAAAGAGGAUUUCAGGAGGAUAUCUCCACCGCCAGUAAAUAUUAAGUCCUUAUUUUUUAUAUCGGUGGUGUCUGAGCCAGUGCCUGUCAGUUUUCCAUUUUCAAUGGUUGCAACCUGAGCCCCUGACAUAUCCACGUUGUAAGAAUACUUGUUCUUCAGGUUGUCAAUGGUUGUCUGGUUCCAUUUACUGUAUGCUGCGUGGUUUUUGCCAUUGGCGUAAUUAUAAAUCCCCCAGACAGUUCCAGCGACAACCCACUUUUUCUUUUGGUUAUCAUAGACGAACAGUGCUGAACCGCUGUCACCCUGAGAGGCAAUGUUAUUAAACUCAUCAAACUGGUUGUUGGUUAAUAUCAGCCAUCCACUCCAGUCAUCAAUGUGAACGAAAGAGCCAUUUAACAUUUCUGGCUUAUAAGAAACCUCAUUAAAUGGAGUUAUGCGUCCAUUUUUUUUAACGGAUACCACACCAGAGCCGGCUCUGAAUGCGAUAAGUUUCUUUUCUCCUUUAUAAUUAACCCCGUAACGUUCAAGUGCCUGCUGUUUUGAUAACGAAAUAUCUGCGCCUUCAGUCGCACCUCGGGUCUCAACAACAAACUUGUCAAGUCGGGAUACUGCAAAAUCAGGAUGUGAAGUAUUCCAGUCAGUUUGUUUGUACGUGCUGUUCCCCCAGUUUUGCGUCGCAACUGAGUGGUGGUUUUUCGUAUUGUGUGUGGCUGUGAUACUGUAUGCACCACCAAUAGAUGUGGUUGACCCUUUGUUUGCAACCGGUGAGAAGUCAGGAAAUGGUACUUCCGGUAGUUUCAGGGUGGAGCCAUCUUUCUUCACUAUUUCAAUAUUUGUUGCGCCAGCCUGAAAUAUGCCCUUGUUCUGUGCAAAAUCCAUAUAGUCACGGAUGUAGAAAUUUGAAAUAUCCAUCUGUGACGCAAAAGAAUAUGAGGAUUGUAAUAAGCCUAAAAAACAUAAUGCAAGUAUGCGUUUGUGUUUUUUCUUACCAGUUGCUCUUGAUGAUACUCUGCCGGAUAAUUCAGAAACAGCGAUUAACCCUCCUGUAAUAUGGCUGUAUUUAAGAGAGUAUAUUUUAUUCAUAUAAGCUCCAUUUUUAAGGGAAACAUUGGUUUUUCUAAUGUAUCAGAGGUGUGUCUCUGACAGUCGUGAACAUUGUAAUCAUCGUCCAGAUAAAUGUUUACUCCUUUAUGUGUUUGUUAUCAUACGGAUAACAAACACUGAACCGCCCCGGUUUUCCUGGAGAGUGUUUUAUCUGUGAACUCAGGCUGCCAGAUCAUCGUUUCUGAUGGAAGCAUAAUAAGCUUUUUCUGCUUCUGCCGGAGGGGUAUGACCCAGCCUUCCCAGCAAUCGUCGAUUGUUAUACCAGUCCACCCACGUGAGUGUGGCCAGUUCCACUUCUGCACGGUUUUUCCAGCUCUUACGGUGUAUUACCUCCGCUUUGUAAAGACCAUUGAUGCUCUCCGCCAUCGCGUUGUCAUACGAGUCACCUGUACUCCCUGUUGAUGCCAGCAGUUUUGCUUCUUUUAGUCGCUCCGUAUAGGCCAGUGA
rnacentral:rRNA from 1 species